ACGUACGGCCAGAGGUUACAGAAAAAAGAACAUCCCGUCCGCUCUGUUGUACUCAAGCUGUAAACCGGUGGGUUAGUACUACGCUGGGUGACCACGUGGGAAUACCCGCUGCUGUACGUU
rnacentral:rRNA from 1 species